rnacentral:rRNA from 1 species
UACGUAGGGGCAAGCGUUGUCCGGAAUCAUUGGGCGUAAAGAGCGUGUAGGCGGCCCGAUAAGUCCGCUGUGAAAGUCCAGGCUCAACCCUGGAAUGCCGGUGGAUACUGUCGGCUCGAGUUCGGAAGAGGUGAGUGGAAUUCCUGGUGUAGCGGUGAAUGACGCAGAUAUCAGAGACACAUGCGAGCAGCUCACUGGACGAUACUGACGCUGAGACGCGAAGCGUGGAGCAACAG